GGAAGAGAUACAGCAAAGGAGAGCUGGAGAUAGUGAAGGGGGGUGGAACGAAGAGAUGGUUUGGACUGAAAGAGAGCAAAACAUGAAAGAAUGACAGACUAAUGGAGAAUGAAGGGGCGAGACAGAGAGAAAGUGAGAGAGUGAGGGGUGUGUUGGUGGGAGAGCAGCGAGGAGGAGGAGGAGGAGGAAGAAGAAGCUCGAUCUCGCUACAGCGAUGGGCGUUCCUCUCCCAGUUCCAGUGAGGUCAAAAGUUUACCGUGGUUUUAAUUUCACCUUUCCACAGCCAAUCAGAACACGUCUCCGGCUGCUGGGGGAACUUUGACCCACUCUGAGAAUUUGACUGUAAAGAUCUGAAAACAGAUGCCACCUAGACGGGAUGUGGGUUGAAAUCCACAAGAUCAACAGGAUCUCCUCGGGCACACACACGAACACACAUCCUCAUGAGAGCAGCAGGCUGUGAAGAAUAUCACAAGAUGAAGUGUGGACGGAGCACACUACGAGAUGCGACGUGAUGUAUAGCCACCUUCCACCUGUAGCUGACUUUCUCUUCACAGAUGCUGCGUUUCCAUCUAUCUCUCCACCCAGAAAUAAAACAUGUCUGAUACAAUCAACUGCACUUGAAAAGGACAAGUCUGGUGAUAUCCUAUAUUGUUUCGUCCCGUCAAUA